AUUCUCGUAGCUCUAUUGGGUAUUCUAAAUUAUUGUGUAAGGAAUGUAAUCUCUAACAUUUAUUAUUUCACUUCCGCAUUCAAUUUAUAAUUUAUUUCCUUUCAAGUUCCGGGUUAUUAUAGUUGAUAUCAAAGUCGCGUUUGUCGGAACUAUCCCUUACACAAAGACUUAAAAAUACCAAAUACGAACUAUUGUCCAACCCUUUCUAGUGAAAAAAUGAGUACAAAGACACGAUGAGAUGAGGUCCCUUACUGAACAGGAUUUUUCGAGACAGGUCGCUUCGAGAGGAUGUCGAUCAACUCGUCGAGAUUUUAGAGAGACUCAUCUCUACCCAGUAGGCCAGAGAAGAGAGGAGGGAACUGUCUGACUCUCCACUGCUUCCACAAUAUGAGCCACCCCUACAGCGAGAGGAUCUAACGCCACCUCGAUGCAACCUUGCUCCCCCACCGUAUCAUCCGACACCGUAACAAGGUCACCAAGUCCCUCCCCAGCAACAUCUGGCCCCUCUUCCACAAAACUUGAUUUCACCCAUGAUGGACUUGAUAGAUAUUGACAUGGGGGACCCUGA
rnacentral:lncRNA from 1 species